rnacentral:rRNA from 1 species
CCUACGGGAGGCAGCAGUAGGGAAUUUUGCGCAAUGGGCGAAAGCCUGACGCAGCAACGCCGCGUGAUCGAGACGCCCUUCGGGGUGUAAAGAUCUGUCAGUGGGGACGAAACUUGACGGAACCCACAGCGGAAGCACCGGCUAACUCCGUGCCAGCAGCCGCCGUAAUACGGGGGGUGCAAGCGUUGUCCGGAAUCAUUGGGCGUAAAGCGUUCGUAGGCGGCACGGAAAGUCUGGUGUUAAAGGCAGAGGCUCAACAUCUGUACGGCACUGGAUACUGGCGAGCUAGAAUGCGGGAGAGGUAAAGGGAAUUCCUGGUGUAGCGGUGAAAUGCUUAGAUAUCAGGAGGAACAUCGGUGGCGUAGGCGCUUUACUGGGCCGUAAUUGACGCUGAGGAACGAAAGCGAGGGUAGCAAAUGGGAUUAGAUACCCUAGUAGUC